UUCACAUGUGUCUUCGGGGUUAUAAAACUAGUUGAUUGCACCACUGAAACUUCACAUGUGUCUUCGGGGUUAUAAAACUAGUUGAUUGCACCAAGUUCCAUAACUCUGACCUUCAUUUUGGCCAAAUUAUGCCCCUUUUUGACUUAGAAAAUCCUGGUUAAAGUUUUGCGUUCAUGUACAUACAGCUAUUACUAAAAGGCAUAUAGAUUUGAAACUUAUUUUUACUUUUUCUAGAUCAAUUACCAACCUCACUGGGUCAAGUCCCAUAACUCUGACAUGUAUUUUGGUGAAAUCAUGCCCCCUUUUGGACUUAGAAAAUCCUGGUUAAAGUUUUACAUGCAAGUUACUAUCUCCAAAACUAAUGCAGAUAUUGAAUUAAAACUUCACAUGUGUCUUCGGAGUUAUAAAACUAGUUGAUAGCACCAAGUUCCAUAACUCUGACCUUCAUUUUGGCCAAAUUAUACCCCCUUUUGGACUAAGAAAAUCCUGGUUAAAGUUUUGCGUGCGAGUACAUACAGCUAUUACUAAAAGGCAUAUAGAUUUUAAACUUAUUUUUUCUUUUUCUAGAUCAAUUACCAACCUCACUGGGUCAAGUCCCAUAACUCUGACAUGUAUUUUGGGCAAAUUUUGCCCCCUUAUGGACUUAGAAAAUCCUGGUAAAAGUUUUGCGUGCAAGUACAUACAGCUAUAACUUAAAGGCAUAUAGAUUUAAAUCUUAUUUUUUCUUUUUCUAGAUCAAUUACCAACCUCACUUGAUCAAAUCCCAUAACUCUGACAUGUGUUUUGGGCAAAUUAUGCCCCCUUUUGGACUUAGAAAAUUCGGGUUAAAGUUUGCAUGCAAGUUACUAUCUGCAGAACAAAUGCAGAUAUUAAGUUGAAACUUCACAUGUGCCUUCGGGGUUAUAAAACUAGUUGAUUGCAUGAAGUCCCAUAACUCUGACAUGCAUUUUGGUCAAAUUAUGUCCCAUUUUUAACUUAAAACUUCUGGUUAUAGUUUAUCAGUGCAGGUACUGGAUUGAAACUCUUUAGAUAUUUUAAUAUUUUGGGUAAUAUUUUCCUGCUUCUGGGACAAUAUUUCGAAUAGUCGAGCAUUGGCUGUCUAAGGGACAGCUCUUGUUUAUAAAACUAUGCUUUUGAUUUUCAAAAAGAAUUCUCACUAUAAACAAACAACUGAAAAACUGUGAAAUCAUGUUAACUUCAUAACCAUAAACUUUGAUCGUUUUGGCAUAAAUGACUAUUUAACAGAGUGACUCUGUUGUGUAGAUUUGAAUUCAUAGUGUUCAAAUUUAAAAAAAUGAAAUGAAUGAAAAAUUUGCUUAUUUGCCUAGGUUUAAUUUUUGAGAUGCAUGUAACCACUUAAUCCACGAAAAAAUACCCUCAAGAAUAUUUAUGAUUUUGCAGUAGGUUGACUUCAGGUAAUUUAUUACCUGCAGCGUAAGUGAACAAUAUAGUUUUCUUUUUUCUGUUCAUUUUGAAUACAAGAUUUGCUCACAGAAAUUAGCUUUUGCUCAAAUUUAAGUUCAGGUUUAGCUCUUUAACCUUUACCCUGCUAUAUUUCUAAAAUGGACUGGUCCAUCUUUCAAUUUGGGCAAUACCACUUGUUUAUCAAAGGGGUGUUCACUGAGAAUUUACAGACUGAAUAGCGAACAGUGCUGACCAUGAUAAGACUGCACGAAUGUACAGGCUGAUCUUGGUCUGCACUGGUUGCAAAGACAGAAUCACAUGCUGCCAGCAGACCAAAAGUUAAAAGGUAAAUUGUAAUCCUGUUAAAUCCAAAUAUAUUGCAUAAUAUUUUAUUAUUUGCAGAAUAGUUAUGUAUUGAUUUGAACAACUAAAUAGUAUUUUUGAAUCAUGAAUAUUUCUGUUACAAAAGGGCUCUAGAGUAUAUUUACAUGUCAUGGUAGAAUCCAUAAUUUUUAUACCAGGUUUAUAUAUAGGCUAAGCGCUCUUUUCAUGAUAAACACGUUCAAAGGCGCUAUAUAGCAAAGUAGCCACACAGAGCGCGGAAUUCAUCCUCAUCUAGUACAGACACAGAGCUGUCUGACCAGAGAGACAGAGUGAGAUGAAGCCCCCAUUACAGACAGAAAUCCUUUUUAGAUACAGGCCUGUCCAGCUAACUUACCCUAGCACUUUGUGAAUAGACAGUCUGGUUCUUUAAUGUGCCCUAUGUAUAGCACCGAUACCCUCUAAGCCGUCUUUCCUGGGAAGAUCCAGUACAGGCCUCUUAGUUAAUAAGUUUAAUAGUUUAUAAUAACAGCAAUACAUAACAUAAUUGUUCCGCAUACAUUAAAUAUUCCUUUCUUCUAGGCUGAUAAAUUCUUUAACUUGAAUUUGUGAGAAUAUCAGAAAAUUGAUAAGAGCAGUUCUGAUUACGAAAACCAUUUAAUUUCCUUGGAUUGAAAUUCUGUGGCUUAGAUAUAAACAGCCCCUUACAAGGACAUGAUUUUGCAAAUUUCAAAUUUUAGAUGGAGAUAGUUUAAUUUCUAUGUUUGGAUCUAAUUUUCAAGUUUGACACAACACGAGAAUCCACAAAAAUUAGUCCCCUUAUAAAUUAAUGAUUUCACAGAAAGUCGGAACAUUUCAGUUUUGAUUUGAAGGAGCUCUUAUUUUUUCCUGGUAUUUUUUGGGUAAGACUUGCUACUUAAUGGUGCUCUGAAGUUGAUUUUUGUUUUUUUAGGAAAAGCUUGUACAAAAUCUUACGUUUUUAGCUUGACUAUACGAAGUAUAUGGGGAUCUUCCUCCACCAUCAAAAGCUGGAAAGUUGCCAUAUGACCUAUAAUUGUGUCGGUGCGACGUUAAAUCCAACAAAACAAACAAUGUAUAUGGAGAGCUAUCCUACUCGCCCCGGCGUUGGUGUCUUUCCGCAUCCCCACCUUUGUUAAAGUUUUUAUGAACUUUCACUUUUUUCUCCUAAUCUCUGUAAUUGUUUGAUGGUUUUGCUUCAAACUUAAAAUAUUUUUCCUCAUCAUCACCGGCAUCAUCUGGCAUAAGGGCCAUAAAUCUCACACCAAUAUUUUUGUGAAUUAUCCCCCCUUUUACUUAGAACUUCAGGUUAAAGUUUUGAUGCACUUUCACUCUAUCUCAUUUAUAAUAAAAUGGAUUUGAUUCAAACUUAAAAUAAUUGUAGUACAUCAUCACCCACAUCUUGACAUAAGGACCAUAACUCUUGCACAAAUUUUUCAUUAAUUAUGCCCCCUUUUUACUUAGAAUUUCAGGUUAAGGUUUUGGUGCACUUUCACUUUAUCUCAGUUAUUUACCAAAUGGAUUUGAUUCAAACUUAAAACAGUUGUUCAACAUCAUCACUCACAUCAUAUAACACAAGUGUCAUAACUCUGGCACAAAUUUUUGAUGAAUUAUGCCCCCCUUUUUACAUAAAAUUUCAUGUUAAAGUUUUGCUGCACUUUCACUCUUUAUCUGUUAUUACCGAAACUUAUUUGAUUCAAACCUGAAAUAAUUGUAGCACAUUAUCACCCACAUCAUGACACAAGGGCCAUAACUCUGGCACCAGUAUUUCAUGAAUUAUGCCUUCUUUUUACUUAGAAUUUCAGGUUAAUGUUGGUGCACCUUGACUUUAUGUUUAUUAUUACCUAAUAAAUUUGAUUCAAACUUCCACGUUGUUGUCCUCAUCAAAUGACACAAUGUCCAUAAUUCAAGCACAAAUAUAUAGUGACUUAUGUCUCUUUUUUUACUUAGAAUUUCAGUUUAAUUUUGAUGCUUUUUCACUAUAUUUCUGUUGUUACUAAUUGGAUUUUAUUCAAACUUUAAACAGUGGUUCCACAUGGUCACCAACAUCAUAUGAGUACCCCCUUUUUACUAGAAUUUCAGGUUCAGGUUCUGAUGCACUUCAGCUCUAUCUCACUUAUUUGAUUAAAACUUGAAGUAGUUGCUCCACAUUACUAGCCACAUGAUAUUACACAAUGUCCUGGUCAGUUACUUUUGCAGAAAUUUCCAAGAAUUAUGUCCCUUUUAUACUUACUUAAUGUUUUGAUACACUUCUCUAUCCCUGUUAGACACUUUGUGCUACAUUUGACACAGACUUAAGCUUUUGUCCAAUAUCUUCAUCCAAGUUGGACAAAUUAAACACUUCAGCGACAGCUCCAGCAUCCUGACAUGUGCCCUGUUUCACUGUCCAGCAUCGAAAUAGCCAAGCGCGCUGUCUCCUAGACAGCUCAUGUUUAAGAUAGGACUUGCUUGUUAAUGGUGCUAUUUAUGUUUUUUUCUGUAGGAGAAGCUUGUACAAAAGUCUAUCAACAUUAGUUUGCUGUUUUUGCCAUUCUAAUAGAUAAAUCAUUUGAAAAAGAAGAUACAAAAAUUAAAUAAAAAUAUUCUUUUAAUUCCAUUUGUACAAUAAUUUUGUUAACUCUUAAUACUGAUGAAUUUAUUCUUAAGUCAAAACCUUAUAUUAUUGAAAUAGGGCUGUUUAAAUAGAAGUCAAGUAGAGUUUUGAAUUUUUACAAUGCAGGCUUAUUUACUGCGUGUUUAAGGUUGUGACAGUAAUUUAGGGCAUUACACAAAACUAUUUUUGUAAGAAAAUUAAUCAAAAACUUCAUGUUAAUGCUUAUGUAAGUAAACUAUUUUUCCCUAUAAUUUUGUGAUUUUGUUAGUUGUUUAGAUUUACUUAUAUUAAGGUUUAUGUUGAUUAAACACAUUAAAUACAUCGUAUUUGUUUCUAUGGUAACAGAAGGCAAGCCCAAAACAAUGGGUUGCUUAAAUAAAAAGUAACAAUGCUUUUUGUAUGUGAACUGGAAAUAUUUGACAGAAAGUUUGAAGGGUCUCUAGCAAAUAUGUAUGAAAUCUUUUAAAAAAAGAAAAGAAAAAUGUGUUCUGUUACCUAAUUUUGUGUUUAUCUUCAGGAACAGUAAUGAUACGUUCUAAAUAUGCUUGUCUCUGUUAAAACAUGCUUGUGCUAGAAUGACGUAAUUUUUACGUGCAGUGACGUUAGAGUUUUUGUUGCAACCAAGAAAGAGCGCUACCAUAUUGUAUUUGCUGAUUUAUAUUAAGAGCAUAUAAGAAUCGAAAUAAUUCAUAGCAAAAAGUGUUUUAACACUAUUUAUACACGCGGGCGGUAAUACAUCGUACAAAUAAUUUCACUUGGGCUGUGCCCUCGUGAAAUUAUUACACCCAACGUAUAACCACCCAUCGUGCAUAAAUAGUGUUGAAAAUACUUUUCUGCUAUAAAUUGGUUAAACAAAAAGUCAAACACAUGCCCAUCAUGUUUAUUAGCUGAAUUUCAUACCAAUACAAGAUGCCUUGAAAAGAUUUGUGUGCAGAAAUACCUUAAUUAAUAUAUAAAAUUUCUAAAAUAGUAAUUUUGAUUUUCUGCACAUAAAAAGUUCAUUUAUUAGUUUCUCAAUUAUAUGGAUGUUGAUUAUAAAUUUGUUGUGACAAUAUAAUAUGAACUAAAAUUGUGUGUGAAUGAGAAAGAACCUUACUUGCUUUGAAUCUCUAAUCAGUUCUGGAGUUUUCUUAACUUGUAUCUCAUCUUUAUCUAGACUAGUGUUUUUGAUAAUGAACAUUAACCUUUACCCUAUUAAAUUUCUAAAAUGGACUGGUCUGUCAUUCUAUUUGGGCAGUGCCAUUUAUUAUUGCAUAUGUUACAAACUAAAGUAACAGAUUUGUACUGAAUUAAACGUAUAUGAACAUUAUGAGGCCGAUUUCAGAGGUUAUGUGAGCUGGUGUGCCUGAUAUCAAUAUUUGGGGCACCUCCAUGUGAUAUCAAGAAGAUUUAUGGGUGGGCAAAACAUCCAAAAUUUAUACUUUCACUGACAGGGUGACAAAUAUUUAUCUACACAGUAACAUUUCUUUCACAAAAGAAAACAUGGUAUAUUAACUUAACAACACUAGAUUCCUCUUCUAGUGUGAUUGAAAAAGGAAAGCACAAAAACUAUGUCCCUAUAAUGAAUAAAUUUAUAACAUGUUUUGAAGGAAAUAAAGUCAGCGUAUUGAAACAACAUUAACGUUCCUGCGCAUUACAUGUACACAUAAAAUGCUGUACAACAUAUUUUAAUUCUGUUUUUCAAAACUAGAGUGGAAGGAGUGGAACAUGUGCAAUGAAAAGGUCAUAAAACGGGGCUGGUGUGCGUCAAGGCAGUACUUGCAUACUAGACCGGUAUUGGCCCUCGGGCUCAAUACCUCUCCUAGUCGUAUAAAGGCACAUAUUUUCACUGGGUCAAAAUUUCAGGUAUUUGAAAAUUUGAAUAUGUUUGCGAAGUUUAAUAUUCACCAAAUCGUAAAAAUGGUAUCCUACUUGAAUAAGAAUUAUACUAAUGGUGAAUAUUUACACGAGGAGUAAUUUUCAUAAGAUGUAGAGCCUCGUGAAUAUAGCGAAAAUUAAACUCUCGUGAAAAUUUCUGCUUUUACAGUAAGCCAAUAUUGCCUUAAGGCACACCAGUUCAGUAUAAUAACCUCUAAUUAUUUGAAGGGAUAUUAUUGCACAGAAGUGCAGGCAGAUCUUCGUCUGUACAGUAGUAGUACGGUCUCAAAGGGAGAAUCAAUUGACAAUUCGACAGAUUUUGCCUAUGCAACAUGUGUAGACGAAGAUCUGCCUGCACUGGUUGUAAAGGAAGAAUCAGUUGACAGCAGCAGGGUAAGGUUCAAGUUGUAGUAUGUUGCUUUUACUGUAGCGAAAAAAAAGGAAUAUUAAAUGAACCAUCUAAGUUGUGAAGUAAGUUUUAUGGCAUAUUUACUUGGUAUGGAAUGUAUUGAUUUGAAAUGUAGUAUUAAAGUGGCAUUGACAAUAUUGAAUUCAAUGCAGUUAUUAAAGAAAUGGUAUACAUUCAAACCUGUCUAUCAAUAGCACCCUUGGGAGAGCCAAAAUUUGGUCUUCAUUGGGAGGUGGUUUAUAUCUACAGGUUAAAAUACACUGUAAAUGUUAAAUUGGGAAAACGUGUAGUCUUUAGAGCCAGAUGGUCCCUAUUCUAUUCCUUUCACACAGGUUUGGUGAGCUUUUGUGAUCGCUCUGUGUCCGUCAGCGGCGGCGUCUGCGUCAUCGUCGUCAACAAUUUGACUGUUAACACUCUAGAGGUCACAAUUUUGGCUCAAUCUUAAUGAAACUUGGUCAGAAUUUUACCCUCAAUAAAAUCUUGGAGGAGUUCGAUAUUGGGCCAUCUGGGGUCAAAAACUAGGUCACCAGGUCAAAUCAAAGGAAAAGCUUGUUAACACUCUUGAGGUCACGAUUUUGGCCAAGUCUCAAUGAAACUGGGUCAGAAUGUUACUAUCAAUAAAAUUUUGGACGAGUUCGAUAUUGGGUUAUCUGGGGUCAAAAACUAGGUCACCAGGUCAAAUCAAAGGAAAAGCUUGUUAACACUCUUGAGGUCACGAUUUUGGCCCAAUCUCAAUGAAACUGGGUCAGAAUGUAACUAUCAAUAAAAUUUUGGACGAGUUCAAUAUUGGGUCAUCUGGGGUCAAAAAACUAGGUCACCAGGUCAAAUCAAAAGGAAGGCUCGUAAACACUCUAGGGGUUGCAAUUUGGGUCCAAUCUUAAUAAAACUUGGUCAGAAUGUUACUGUCAAUAAAGUCUUGGACGAGUUUUAUAUUGGGUCAUCCGGGGUCAAAAACUAGGUGACCAGGUCAGAUCAAAGGAAAUACUUGUUAACACUGUAGAGGCCACAUUUAUGACUUUGUCUUCAUGAAACUUGGUCAGAAUGUUAAUCUUCAUGAUCUGUAGGUCAAAUUCAAAUCUGGGUCAGAUGGGGUCAAAAACUAGGACACUAGGUCAAAUCAAAGGAAAAACUUGUUAACAUUCUGGAGGCCACCCACAUUUAUGGCUGUAUCUUCAUGAAACUUAGUCAGAAUGUUAAUCUUGAUGAUCUUUAGGUCAAGUUCAAAUCUGGGUCAGAUGGGGUCAAAACUAGGUCACAGGGUCAAGUCAAAGAAAAGCUAUUUAACACUGUAGAGGCCACAUUUAUGACCGUAUCUUAAUGAAACUUGGUCAGAAUGUUAAGCUUGAUUAUCUUUAGGUCAAGUUCAAAUCUGGGCCAGGUUGGGUCAAAAACUAGGUCACUAGGUCAUUCAAAGGAAAAGCUUGUUAACAUUCUAUAGGCCACAUUUAUGGCUAUAUCUUCAUGAAACUUAGUCAGAAUGUUAAUCUUAGUGAUCUUUAGGUCAAGUUCGAAUCUUGGUCAUGUGAGGUCAAAAACUAGGUCACAGGGUCAGAUCAAAAGGAUAGCUAUUUAACACUUUAGAGGCCACAUUUAUGACCAUAUCUUAAUGAAACUUGGUCAGAAUGUUAAUAAUGAUGAUCUUUAGGUCAAUAAGUCAGGUGACCGAUACAGGGUCUUCAUAGCCGUCUUGUGUUAAACAUGUUGAAGAGGUAAUAUGCCCUGCCCCAUUAAAUUAUUUCCUGUAUUGUAGUGUUUAAAUUGAUUAAAACAUACUGGAGCCAUAUACAUGUAUAACUCUGAUUGUAAUAUGUCUUAUUUGCAAAAUAUUAAAUCAAAAUAGUUAAGCCAUCUCCAGUCUGCUGAAAGCAUUUCAACAUGCAGUGAGUAUGUAUUAUUUAAAGUAAACAUGAUUUUAGAAUGUGUAUUACAAUGUUUGUUAUAAUUUUAGUCAAAAUAUAUUUGUUAGUCAUAUUUGAUAGGGGUUCUUUUGGGUUAUUAUGGUCGGUCAAUCUUCCAGUCUAUCUGUUGGUUAACACUUCAGUUUCUGAUAAUUAACUGCAUAAUGCUUUGCUCAAACUUUAUAGAUUGAAUGCAUAUCUGACUGACCUUGAGAUUGAACUUAUUUCUGAUCAAAUAACUGGAACAUGCUUGAGCCUAUAGUGGUCAAAUUUCAUAUUAAUUGUACUUAAAAAUUAUUGUAAAGGGUUCUUAGAUGAUUCCUAUUGUAUUUCUGUUGUUAGAUGGUCAAAGAUUAAGGUCAGUGUUGAUUUUAGGGGUCAGAUGGUCAAGGUCACUGACAUUGAGACUUAAUAAAGUUUCUUAUCAAUAGCAGGAAAAUAGUAGGGCUUACAGCUAACAAAACUUCAUAACUUUAUUGUCUAUUAUAAGUAAAUGACCUUUGCUGUUUUGGGGCUCACAGUUUAUUCAGUUAAGUCUGGGUAUAAAAUUAAUACUUGCAUCAAUAUGACUGGCUUUGGUAAAAUAUAUUUUGGUAGCAUUUAACGUACUGCCAAAUUUGUAAGAAGGUUGUGAAAAUAUCUUUUUACAACUGGGUUGCUGUGUUAGUUAUUUUCUGCUUAUUGUUGGUAGGUAAGAAUUAUAUUUAUACAAGAUAUUUAUACUUGAGAAGUAAACAGGGUUCAACACUUGCUUGUAGUGUCAACAAUUGGCGAUUUGAACUUGUGUUUAUUGUAUUAUACAUGAAUUAAAGUCAGACAUAAUUGUU